rnacentral:rRNA from 1 species
CCUACGGGGGGCAGCAGUCGAGAAUCAUUCACAAUGGGGGAAACCCUGAUGGUGCGACGCCGCGUGGGGGAAUGAAGGUCUUCGGAUUGUAAACCCCUGUCAUGUGGGAGCAAAUUAAAAAGAUAGUACCACAAGAGGAAGAGACGGCUAACUCUGUGCCAGCAGCCGCGGUAAUACAGAGGUCUCAAGCGUUGUUCGGAAUCACUGGGCGUAAAGCGUGCGUAGGCUGUUUCGUAAGUCGUGUGUGAAAGGCGCGGGCUCAACCCGCGGACGGCACAAGAUACUGCGAGACGAGAGGAAUGGAGGGGGAACCGGAAUUCUCGGUGUAGCAGUGAAAUGCGUAGAGAUCGAGAGGAACACUCGUGGCGAAGGCGGGUUCCCGGACAUUAACUGACGCUGAGGCACGAAGGCCAGGGGAGCGAAAGGGAUUAGAUACCCGAGUAGUC